AGUGAAUCCGCGGCUGGCUCGUACGCGAGUCGCACGAGGAUCGAGCACGCGAUGUCUCAGCCGAGAUAACGAUCGAUCGAUCGAUCCAACGAACGAACUUGCAACCGCGAACGCAACCAGUCGCGAGCCGUGCGCUAUCCUCGCGUUCACGCAAUAGUAAUUCCACGCACGAUUUCCGAUUUCGCGCCUGCCUCCAUACAAAGAUCCAACCUUCCAAAAUAACGCAAAAUAACGCAACACCUCCACGACAAGUUCAUGCAGCCAAACCUCUUAUUGUAGUGAUUCAUCCACUCUCUCGCUAUCUACAGCUUUCCAUUCAGAUAAAUGAAUUUAAUCAGCUGAAGAUCAAUCAUUCGUUGUCACGUGUUAACCUAUCAUCAUCCAUCAUUUGAACCCAUCUAAAAUUUAGUUGUAAUAAGUGCAUAGUGGUUCAUGGGAGUAUUCGAAUACCCUUAGAAAUAUUUUA
rnacentral:misc_RNA from 1 species